GGCGCCAUCGUCUAGGCUGGUCAAGGACACAAGGUUCUCAACCUUGCGACCGGGGUUCAAAUCCCCGUGGCGCCA
rnacentral:tRNA from 1 species